rnacentral:tRNA from 1 species
GCGGGUGUAAUUCAGCGGCAGAAUGCUUGCUUCCCAAGCAAGACGUCGGCGGUUCGAAUCCGCUCACCCGCUCCA